ensembl:lncRNA
AAAGGAUUGACUAAAACAGAGACUAGGAUCAGCUGGGUAGCAAAGUGGGGUAGGGAGGAAAUGCAUAGCAACAACAGACUUACCUGAAGUCAAGCGGUACCCCGCCGUGUGCUCUACACAGGGCCCUGGGGUCCAGCCUGGAUGAGCAGCUGAGGGUCCUACAGGCACCAAGUGGAGAGCAGGUGAGCAGGUGCCCCGGGACCACACACAGGUCUGCACCUCUCUCCCUUCUGGCACUUGCCUGGGUCCUCAGAAUUUGCAAAGACUGACUUCUCUGAGACGUUCUCAUUGACGGAGCCCACUUGCCUCCUCCAUCCACCCUCCAUCCCACUAGAUUCCUGAAUCAACUAGAAUAUGACUGGAUUUAAGGGGCAGAUGACACACUUGGAACAGAAAGGAGGAAAAGAAGGAGAGAUUCUUUGAAGAUAUCCUCUUCAACACCGGGGAUACAGGAAAUUUUUCCUCAUUGACUGAAAUAGGAAACAACUGGAACUCAUUCACCGCAGGUUGGAGUGUAAAAUACAACAGCGUUGGAAACUUGGUGGAUUAUAAUAAAGUUAAUCCUCUACCUCUCCUAUGUCCUGGCUCUUCUGCUCCUAGAUAUUCACCAAAGAGAGAUAAGAACAGAUGUACAUGUGCUUAACAGCUUCACUCAUCACAGCCCCUCACUGGAAACACCACUGUUUAAAACAGGAGAAGGGGAACAGUGAAUGCUCUUUGCAAACCCCUGGGCUAUAGCCCACCAGGCUCCUCUGUCUGUGGAUUUAUCCAGGCAAGAAUAUUGGUACAGGUUGCCAUUCUCUCCUCCAGGGGAUCUUCCCAACUCAGAGAUCCAACCCAUGUCUCCUGGGUCUCCGGCAUUGGCAGGCAGAUGCUUUACUACUGAGCCCCCUGGGAAUUGCCUGCUAUGGACUAGCCCUCAGCAAGAAAAUGGGACUGAAGAUAAAGGCAAGGUCUUCAGUGAACCCCAGUGUUGAGCGCAAGAGCCAGGCACAAGUGAGCACACACUGGGAGCAUUCUGAUAACAUAAAAUCCAGAAGCGGGUCAGAAAAGCAAUGACUUAUGAGGGGCACCAAAUGGGAGGGACCCGGAGGAGUCAUCUGGGUGCUGGGAAUGUCCUGGAACUUGACCUGGAUGGUGGUCACACAGCUGUUUACAGCAUAAAAACUCAUCCAGCAGACUAGGGUCUGUGUGUUUACAUGGACCGUACCUCAAUGAAGUACUGUUAAAAAACACCGCAGGCCACGUACAGUGGCACCGUGCGUGAGAAUCCACCUCACCGUGCAGAGAACGCGGGUUUGAUCCUUGGUCCUGGGAGACUCCACACGCGGUGGAGAAACUAAGUCCAUGUGCCACGAUUAUUGAGCCCAGGUUCUAGAGGCCACCUGCUGUAAAUACUGGAUCCCACACCCCUACAGCCUGGCUCAGCAACGAGAAACCAUACAUGGCACUGAAGAAGCUCCCCACUUGCUGCAACUAGAGAAAGCCACUGCAAAGUAACGAAGAAUAAGCACAGCCAAAGGAAAAUAAAAUAAGUGAAUUUUUAAAAAUUUAGAAACCACCCCAAAACUCUCAGAGCCCAGGGAGAAAUAGGGACAGCUAGAGUUCAAGCAGACAUGCAUUUUGACAUCUCCAGGUGAUUUGGAAGUGAGUCACAGAGAGUCCAGCCCAAAAAGGAGAGCCCAGGUUCUUCUGCUCCAGCCCUGUAGGGAGGGCCUACCGCCAAACCCAAAGGCCAGUGGGUUUUUGGGUGAAUAAAGACCGUAAGGAGGUGUCUCCAAGACCCAGUGGCUGGCACAGCUGACCUCAGCAACCUGGGGUCACCAUGUGUGCCGUCACUGAGACCCUUUUCCAGGACCUGGCUUGAGCUACCUGAUGGUUGUUGCUGAGCUGUGUCUUGAAGUCAUGAUAAGAACCACAGGGGCCCAUCUGGCCACAGUACUAGCUCCAGCUGGGCUGAUGUCUUUGGGGCUCCCAUGAGUAGUAAAGACCCACGUGAGUGCCCCCAGUGUUCCUGAACAGAAAGCAUCACUAUGCAUAGUCUGAGACCGACCCUACAAAACAGUACGGAUGUUCCUUUAACAACUAAACACAGAAUUACCAUCUGGUCCAGCAAUUCCACGCCUGGGUCAGAUGGUAAAGAAUCUGCCUGUAAUGCAGGGCACCUGGGUUUGAUCCCUGGGUCAGGAAGAUCCCCUGCAGAAGAUUAUGGCAACCCACUCCAGUACUCUUGCCAGGAGAAUCCCAUGGACAGAAGAGCCUGGCAGGCUACAGGCUAUAUGGUCACAAAAAGUCAGACACAACGGAAGCAACUUCCCACUGCCAGCAAUUCCAUGUCUGGCUAUAUACCCUAAAG